rnacentral:rRNA from 1 species
AACGAACGCUGGCGGCAGGCUUCAUACAUGCAAGUCGAGCGGAAAGGCCCCUUCGGGGGUACUCGAGCGGCGAACGGGUGAGUAACAGGUGGGUAAUCUGCCUUUCGGAGGGGGAUAACGGCUGGAAACGGCCGCUAAUACCCCGUACGGUUGCGAAGCUCUCGGGCUUUGCAAAGAAAGGGGCCUUUAAAGCCCCGCCGAAAGAUGAGCCCGCCCCCCAUUAGCUAGUUGGCGGGGUAAUGGCCCACCAAGGCUGUGAUGGGUAGCCGAGCUGAGAGGUUGAUCGGCCACACUGGAACUGAGACACGGUCCAGACACCUACGGGUGGCAGCAGUAGGGAAUAUUGCGCAAUGGGCGAAAGCCUGACGCAGCCAUGCCGCGUGGAUGAUGAAGGCCUUCGGGUCGUAAAGUCCUUUUCUGAGGGAAGAACUGCCGGGGAGGAAAUGCCCUUGGCUUGACGGUACCUCAGGAAUAAGCAACGGCUAACUCCGUG